rnacentral:ncRNA from 2 species
GAAUAAUGUGUAAGAGUUGGUGCCAAGCGAAGGUUUGGCUUAAAAGGGAAGUCGGUGCAAAUCCGACGCUGUCCCGCAACUGUAAGUCGGAGCAAAUCACAAAUGCCACUGGUGGGAAACUGGGAAGGCUGUGAGGCGCUGUGAUGACAAGCCAGGAGACCUGCCAAUAUCUAGUACACACC